UGCAAGUCGAACGGUGAAGCCNAGCUUGCUUGGUGGAUCAGUGGCGAACGGGUGAGUAACACGUGAGCAACCUGCCCUGGACUCUGGGAUAAGCGCUGGAAACGGCGUCUAAUACUGGAUAUGAGACGUGAUCGCAUGGUCGUGUUUGGAAAGAUUUUUCGGUCUGGGAUGGGCUCGCGGCCUAUCAGCUUGUUGGUGAGGUAAUGGCUCACCAAGGCGUCGACGGGUAGCCGGCCUGAGAGGGUGACCGGCCACACUGGGACUGAGACACGGCCCAGACUCCUACGGGAGGCAGCAGUGGGGAAUAUUGCACAAUGGGCGAAAGCCUGAUGCAGCAACGCCGCGUGAGGGAUGACGGCCUUCGGGUUGUAAACCUCUUUUAGCAGGGAAGAAGCGAAAGUGACGGUACCUGC
rnacentral:rRNA from 1 species